UGCCAGACUCCUACGGGAGGCAGCAGUGGGGAAUAUUGCACAAUGGGGGAAACCCUGAUGCAGCGACGCCGCGUGAGUGAAGAAGUAUUUCGGUAUGUAAAGCUCUAUCAGCAGGGAAGAAGUUGACGGUACCUGAGUAAGAAGCCCCGGCUAACUACGUGCCAGCAGCCGCGGUAAUACGUAGGGGGCAAGCGUUAUCCGGAUUUACUGGGUGUAAAGGGAGCGUAGACGGCAGUGCAAGUCUGAAGUGAAAGCCCCGGGCUUAACCCGGGAAUUGCUUUGGAAACUGUACGGCUGGAGUGCUGGAGAGGUAAGCGGAAUUCCUAGUGUAGCGGUGAAAUGCGUAGAUAUUAGGAGGAACACCAGUGGCGAAGGCGGCUUACUGGACAGUAACUGACGUUGAGGCUCGAAAGCGUGGGGAGCAAACAGGAUUAGAUACCCUCGUACAG
rnacentral:rRNA from 1 species